GUUCAGAGCGUUACUAUGGUGAAAACAGUGGAGCAGUCUAUCAUGCUACCACUGCCCAAUAAAGUUUUCAUGAUGAUGGCGGUUGGAAACUUCUUGGAUGGAGACUAGCUGGGGACCGAACCCAGGGCCUUGUGCUUGCUAGGCAAGCACUCUACCACUGAGCUAAAUCCCCAACCCCCGACUGACAUUAAUUUUAUGUGGCAUCUUUUUAUGUGUUGAGUUGGAUCUUGAAAUAAAGAAUACAAUGUGAGCUAA